UAAUUUUAAAAAUCAUAAAAAAAUUUCUAAUAUAAGCUAAAAAAUUAUAUACAAACCUUGGAGAUUCAAAUUGACACUAAUAACAAUUUAAAAAAAAAAAAAACUAAAAUUGCUAGUAGUGAGAAGGGAUGAGAAUGACGUGAUCAGAGGGUUGGUUUGAUGUGCAGCAACUAACUUAGGUGUUUAGGUGCUAGAAUCUAAUAAAACUAGAGGAAUAUGAGGAAAAAAC